GAUGAACGCUAGCGGCAGGCUUAACACAUGCAAGUCGAGGGGCAGCGCGAUGUAGCAAUACAUUGGCGGCGACCGGCGCACGGGUGCGUAACACGUAUGGAACUUACCCUUUACUGGGAGAUAGCCCGGAGAAAUCCGGAUUAAUAUCCCAUAAUAAACGAAGUGGCAUCAUUUUGUUUUGAAAGCUCCGGCGGUAAAGGAUGGCCAUGCGCACGAUUAGCUAGUAGGUGAGGUAACGGCUCACCUAGGCUACGAUCGUUAGGGGGCCUGAGAGGGUUAUCCCCCACACUGGUACUGAGACACGGACCAGACUCCUACGGGAGGCAGCAGUGAGGAAUAUUGCGCAAUGGAGGCAACUCUGACGCAGCCAUGCCGCGUGCAGGAAGAAGGCGCUACGCGUUGUAAACUGCUUUUAACCGGGAAGAAACCCUCCGACGUGUCGGAGGUUGACGGUACCGGAGGAAUAAGCACCGGCUAACUUCGUGCCAGCAGCCGCGGUAAAGUG
rnacentral:rRNA from 1 species